AGAACCCGAGCCCACGCACACAAGGGUCGCGGGGCUGGGAAGCUCGUCAUCCAAGCCCGUCAGGGAGCCCCCCCAUCACCCGACCGCGAAAGGCUGAGAGAAGGGAGGGUUCGUGCCACCAGAUCACCCAGUAAGCUGCAGCAAGUUAGCAGUGGAACCUGGGCCUCCCGAUUCCCAUGGCAGCCCACUUCUGUAGCGCUGCUUCGUUUUACGCGAGGAUGGUUUCCUGAUAGCUUUCAAACACCUUUGCCAUCUCUUCGCAAACUUUCUAGAUUAAGAAUCCCUUUGAGAAUCUGAUACCUUUACCCCAGAAUAGAACAAUAAAUAACAGCUACCUUCUACUGA
rnacentral:lncRNA from 10 species